rnacentral:rRNA from 1 species
GACGUAGGGGGCGAGCGUUGUCCGGAUUUAUUGGGCGUAAAGCGUGCGUAGGCGGCUGCGCAAGUCGGGUGUGAAACCCCGGGGCUCAACCCCGGAACUGCAUCCGAUACUGCGUGGCUAGAGGUAGGUAGGGGAGAUCGGAAUUCCUGGUGUAGCGGCGAAAUGCGCAGAUAUCAGGAGGAACACCCGUGGCGAAGGCGGUUCUCUGGGACGGUACUGACGCUGAGACGCGAAAGCGUGGGGAGCGAACAGG